rnacentral:lncRNA from 1 species
CCUGUCUCCCUCCUACUUUCAGGGGCUGUUGGCUUUGUUGUCAUGCUAUCAGAGGGCAUGGAGUCAUGAAGACACCUCCAGGGAAGCAGGGAGAGGCACGUGGGCUUAGAUCCAGGUCUGGGGAAGGAAGACAUGCCUAUCCUUUUACAUAGAGACCCAGGAACACAGCCGCUACCACUGAUCCUCCCUCCCUCACCAUCCACUUCACAGGCUCAGAGAGGACCGGGGUUUAUCUAGGGUCACAGUGCCAAUGAGCAAGAGUGGGUUGCUAUGGGCAUUGUUGUGGGUGUGUGCCACGCCACUGCUAGGCAAAUGGAUUUUGUCUUGUCUUCGUUUUUUGGAGACAGGAUUUCUCAGUGACAUCCUGGCUGUCCUGGAACUUGCUCUGUAGACCAGGCUGGCGUCCAACUCAGAGAUCUGGGAUUAAUGGUGUCUACCACCACUGGCUUCCUGCGAAGUUUGACUACCAGCUUCCGGAGAGGAUGGCUCCCAGUGUCCUGAAAGGGAACCUUCCUGGGGUAAUUACCUUCUGUUUGCUUGCACUCCUGAAAGAAUGGGCUUGUGUUUGCCAUGUUGCAAGAGGACCCUUCUGUGAUGCUGAGCUCCAGGUCUCUGUGGUCCAGAGGAUCCAGGAGGCUGUGUCAGGCCCAGGGCAGAAGAAGAUGUUCUCUGAUUAGUCUGCUGAAUUAUGAAUUAGGUUCCGGGUCCCUGUGCAGCUGUUCCUGGCUUGUCAUCCCCACCGCUUUAUUUCCCCAUCUGCUUAUAAAACCAGGAGCGCCGUCCUGCAAUAAACACUUCAAGCACUUUUUUUAGGGGCUAAUUAAUUGUGUUGCAUUUCUCCAACACAGUACACAGGCUGGACCUGCCCUGAAUUCCCAAUGCAGUUCAGCUCCUGUCAGGGUACCUAG